CCUCACAAGACCGGGGUCAACCAUGGCUACCAGCAUGAACAACGGCGCUUCAAUGCACAAUGAGGGACGUCUGCAGCGACUGAGAAAGAGUCUCACCACAUCCUGACAUGAGGAAAAAGACUUUAUUGAAGACUACAAUGAGAAAAACUAUCAGACAGCAGACGGCAUGCAUUCAAGGUGAGCUCUGAACAUUUGAUCUGGAACAGGAAUUCAAUAACGGCAGCAUGAGCUUCAUUUCAGUCUGUAGCUGCUGAAUUCAUGGAUGAAUCAUCUGGCACUAGAGAAGAAGACCAUCAAACAUCCACGUCAGCUGAUGGAGGUCCAAGAGUCUCACCGAACAACCAACCUACAGAGUGAAGACCUCGAAUCUGAUUGGACGGCCUCCUAUUCAGCCACGUGUGAACAAAUGCCUCUAAGCUGAUUUGUUUUCUAAAAUAAAUCUAGUUUGAGUCCUAA